AGCAGCCGCGGUAAUUCCAGCUCCAAUAGCGUAUAUUAAAGUUGUUGCAGUUAAAAAGCUCGUAGUUGAAUUUCGGGAUCAGUAGGUUGGUCAUGCCUAUGGUAUGUACUGGCUUUACUGGUUCCUCCUUCUUGAUGAUCUGUAAUGUCAUUAAUUUGGUGUUGCAGGGAGUCAGGACUGUUACUUUGAAAAAAUUAGAGUGUUUAAAGCAGGCAUACGCUUGAAUACAUUAGCAUGGAAUAAUGAAAUAGGACGUUCGAUCCUAUUUUGUUGGUUUCUAGGAUUGACGUAA
rnacentral:rRNA from 1 species